rnacentral:rRNA from 1 species
ACAACGCUGGCGGCGUUGCUUGAUACAUGCAAGUCAGGAGAACAUUAUCUUCGGAUAAUAAGUAAACUGGCGAACGGGUGAGUAACGCGUAAAUAACUUGCCUCAGAGAUUGGGACCAACAUUGGGAAACCAGUGCUAAUACCAAAUAAUGCAGCGGGCUCUUCGGAGCAUUGUUGUUAAAGUAGGCUUCGGCUUACACUUUGAGAUAGGUUUGCGUCCGAUUAGUUUGUUGGUGGGGUAAUUGCCUACCAAGACUAAGAUCGGUAGCUGGUCUGAGAGGAUGAUCAGCCACACUGGAAUUGAGAUACGGUCCAGACUCCUACGGGAGGCAGCAGUAAGGAAUUUUGCACAAUGGGCGAAAGCCUGAUGCAGCAACGCCGCGUGAACGAUGAAGUUUUUAGGAAUGUAAAGUUCUGUCGUAUGGGAAGAGAUCUUUCGAAUGUUAAUACCAUUCGUUAAUGACGGUACCAUACAAGAAAGCACCGGCUAACUUCGUGCCAGCAGCCGCGGUAAUACGAGGGGUGCUAGCGUUGUCCGGAUUUACUGGGCGUAAAGGGUACGUAGGCGUUUUAAAAACGUUGAAUGUUAAAUAUCUUAGCUUAACUAAGAAAGUGCAUUCAAAACUGUUAAAAUAGAGUUUGAGAGAGGAAC